CCCGCGUUGUUACUAUUAGUGAGGUUUGUAGAAACACGCAGGAUAUAUUUGCUUUAAUUUUUAAUGCCUCAUAAAGCACAUGGCCCUUUGUGGGGAUUCAGCAUAGAAGAGAAUAAAAAGCAAGCAACCCGGGAGUGUUGUACAUAGAAGUCAAUGGUGGCAACCCCAUCUCCCUCUGGCUUUUCUGCAAACAGUUUCUUUUACAAAUGUGGUUUUGGUAUGCAAAUCACUGUAUUCAGAUUUCUGUGUGCAAAAUACAGCAUACAAAAAUGGCCUCCUUGCCAAAGAAGCUAGGAGGUGUUGGCUACCAUCGAGAGAAAUGGUAGCAAAUUCUGGAUGCCUUUCCCACUGCUCUUUCUAACAAUGUAUGGGGUGAGCAGAUUUUUGGCAUGCUAAACUGAACUAUUUUGGCUUUAGGUUGUGUGUUCUUGUGAUAAAAGUGUGCUUAUUGAAGCCUGUAACUACUUUUUGAAACCAUAAUAAUGUGUCGUGGUAUUUAAUUCAGCAUUUCACAACAGCGUGCCACCUCCAGCUAGCAAAACCGCUUGUUCUGAAAUCACAGAUGGCUUCGCAUCUGAGGGUAGGGCUGCUUGACUCGUGUGCUUCCUACUUCCUGAAAAGAAUUGUGCUUACUCAGAGACUUAAUUUUACAUCUCAGAAAACGUUUCCUAAUUAAUGUAGUCCUUAGUAAGUGAAAGGAAUCCACGUCAUGUUAGAAUAGUCUUUCUUUGGGGAGAGCAGGUGGAGCUAGCUCUGAAUUCUCAAGGCAAUAUUUUAUAGUCCAGGCAGAAUAAUAAUAUGUCUCUUUCCUGCUGUUCCUUGCCAAUUCCAAAGCCUUUCCCCAUUGGCUCCUCAGGAGAGGAGGUGAAAUAAAAAUGUAUUCCAAGGUCACUUGUGACAGGGCCUCUGGUCUCCCAAGCUUGGGAUUAUUUUUGUCCACAAUUAUGCUCAAGAGACCAGCCACUGCAAGCCAACAGCCCAGACCACAUGCCUUUCCCUAUUCUUUUCUUUCCCUCACGCUUAAAUAGUUUUUGCUCCUUUGGGGCGUUUCAUGCUUGCCACCUUACCAAAUGAAAUGCUCAUUAAUUUUCCAAAAAUGAAGUUUCCUUUAAAAGCAUUCUCAGGACGACACACACAGUCUGAAAGCCAGGAUAACAAGUGUAAAGCUGUCAUGCCCCCAGUGGCUGGAAAAGAGGGGAGACAGUCUUCACGAGGGCAUUUGUUCGCAUACUCAUCCAGGCAUGCACUGGUUGGUUCAUUUAUUCAUGCACACACUCAUUCACUUGACUUCCUGCUUACUAUGUGUUGGGUACUGCCUUAGGCACAGGAACACAAAGAUAAAAAUAUUCCCAGCUAUUGAGCUCAGUCUCUACCAGAAGAGGCAGUUGCACAGCCUGGUGCUGCUGCUGCUGCCGUAGAAAUCUGAGCCAGACAUAUAGGUGUGCACAGGUGUGGUCGUGCAGCCUACCACACUGGCAGCCAUGGAGAGAUGCUUGGGUACUGGCAAAGCUUUGGAAGCUGAACAGAUGUAAUCCAGAUUGGUGGUCGGUGGGUAGGGGAAGAGAUAACAGAGGAGACAGUGAGCAAGAAGGGCUGAUGUGCCAGGAUAGGCUGGCCUCAAACUCAGAGAUCUGCCUAAGAACCCUUUUCUUUCUUGUGCACUCUGAAGAGAAUAGAGAUCCUACACCAGGAACCCAGUGAGCCUCUUGCUGCUCUUACCACCCUCUGAAGAGAAACAUUUGAAAGUCUGCCCAGAUCUUGUAAUCUUAUUAAUCUAACAAAGAGACUGGUAACUGCCUCAACUAGGGGGGAUCAGUGUUUACCAUGUAAUUUGCAACAAGCUGAUAACACAUCCUGCUACAAGGCAAGCCCUUGGCAGAAAAUGGUGGGAGAGGAGAGGAUUUAGACUGAAGUUUCCAGGAAAUGUUUGCUCACCUUCCCUGCCUCUAGCCUCCCUGCCCCUGCCAUCUCCCAGUUCAAAGGCAUCUUGUACAUGGCUUCUUCAGGUCUUGCCCUCCAGGGAUCUGCCCCAUGCUUCUGGUUGGGAGAGAUGGCCCCUCGUAGGCAGUCUUUGAGUCUGGGCAGCUCUGAGGUUCUUCAGCCUUGUGGUGGACAUGAGCUUUUCCUCUCCUUUCAUCUGUUGGGACAAUGGAGUGUGACAAGAGCAUCACAGUCUGGUUCCAUGUGUAUCAGGUCUUAAACGGCAGUGAUCCUUUGAUAAAUGCAGGAGAAGAGGAACGAAUAGGUUGAGUGGGAUUCAAGGAGGUUCCCCAAUGAGGUUAUGGUAUUACCACAGGGACAGUCUGGAGGGCCCAUCCCUGUGCUUAGCCUAGGCACCCCUUCCAGAUGAGACCAGCAGCCAUGCAGUCGGCUCUAGGGGUGUGCCCAGCCUAG
rnacentral:lncRNA from 1 species